GACGAACGCUGGCGGCGUGCUUAACACAUGCAAGUCGAACGGAAAGGCCCUGCUUUUGUGGGGUGCUCGAGUGGCGAACGGGUGAGUAACACGUGAGUAACCUGCCCUUGACUUUGGGAUAACUUCAGGAAACUGGGGUUAAUACCGGAUAGGAUCUCCUGCUGCAGGGUGGGGGUUGGAAAGUUUCGGCGGUUGGGGAUGGACGCGCGGCUUAUCAGCUUGUUGGUGGGGUAGUGGCUUACCAAGGCUUUGACGGGUAGCCGGCCUGAGAGGGUGACCGGCCACAUUGGGACUGAGAUAGGGCCCAGACUCCUACGGGAGGCAGCAGUGGGGAAUAUUGAACAAUGGGCGGAAGCCUGAUGAAGAACCGCCGCGUGCGGGAUGACGGCCUUCGGGUUGUAAACCGCUUUCGCCUGUGACGAAGCGUGAGUGACGGUAAUGGGUAAAGAAGCACCGGCUAACUACGUG
rnacentral:rRNA from 1 species